UACAGAGAUGGCAAGCGUUGUUCGGAAUCACUGGGCAUAAAGGGCACGUAGGCGGGUUGGUAAGUCAGGUGUGAAAUCCCUCGGCUCAACCGAGGAACUGCGCCUGAAACUGUCGAUCUUGAGGGCAGGAGGGGAGAGUGGAACUCUUGGUGGAGCGGUGAAAUGCGUAGAUACCAAGAGGAACGCCGGUGGCGAAAGCGACUCUCUGGUCUGCUACUGACGCUGAGGUGCGAAAGCUAGGGGAGCAAACAGGAUUAGAUACCCUGGUAGUCCUAGCCGUAAACGAUGGGCACUAAGUAGAGGGGGUUCCGAGACCCUCUCUGCCGGAGCUAAUGCAUUAAGUGCCCCGCCUGGGGAGUAUGCUCGCAAGGGUAAA
rnacentral:rRNA from 1 species